CUUUCAAUGCAUGUAUGGUUUAUUCUAUAUGUUUACUGCUGAAUCAGAAAAAAUGAAAGUUAAACGGUAAAAAUUGUGUGAUGAAAUAAAUAAAUAAAACGGUAGCCUUACUGGAUAUCCUAGGAGAUGGUGGACGGACCGGGAACAUAGGGAACCCUACCGUGAAUGUUGUCUCAUACCGGACGGGGUAUGAAGACUUGAUAAUUUGGUGCUUAUACUAGACGGGAUAUGGGGACAGUACGCUUCACCCUCAUACCGGACAGAGUAUUAAGGUUUGGUAAAUUGGUACUCAUACCGGACAGGGUAUAGGGACGGUCCAUAAUU
rnacentral:lncRNA from 1 species